rnacentral:rRNA from 1 species
UGUGUAAGUAACUGUGCACAUCUUGACGGUACCUAAUCAGAAAGCCACGGCUAACUACGUGCCAGCAGCCGCGGUAAUACGUAGGUGGCAAGCGUUAUCCGGAAUUAUUGGGCGUAAAGCGCGCGUAGGCGGUUUCUUAAGUCUGAUGUGAAAGCCCACGGCUCAACCGUGGAGGGUCAUUGGAAACUGGGAAACUUGAGUACAGAAGAGGAAAGUGGAAUUCCAUGUGUAGCGGUGAAAUGCGCAGAGAUAUGGAGGAACACCAGUGGCGAAGGCGACUUUCUGGUCUGUAACUGACGCUGAUGUGCGAAAGCGUGGGGAUCAAACAGGAUUAGAUACCC